rnacentral:misc_RNA from 1 species
UUGAUAGUUUUUAUUAUCAAUAAACCCCUUUGUUUAAUCAUUUACCCUGUUGCUUCCAUUGGACAGACCGGCAUUGUGUAUACAAGUUGGUCCUCUAGCUUUGUGUUUAUUUGGCACUAGCUAGGGAGCUGCCAGUGGAUAGAAUCCAAACAAAAAAUUCGUGAAGAAACAUAUAUUGUCUGAUUUAUUAGUACAAAAACAAUA